rnacentral:rRNA from 1 species
AGUAGAGUGGCGGACGGGUGAGUAACGCGUGGGAAUCUACCCAGUAGUGGGGGACAACUACCGGAAACGGUAGCUAAUACCGCAUACGCCCUAUGGGGGAAAGGCUUCGGCCGCUAUUGGAUGAGCCCGCGUCAGAUUAGCUAGUUGGUAGGGUAAAGGCCUACCAAGGCAACGAUCUGUAGCUGGUCUGAGAGGACGAACAGCCACACUGGGACUGAGACACGGCCCAGACUCCUACGGGAGGCAGCAGUGGAGAAUAUUGGACAAUGGGCGAAAGCCUGAUCCAGCAAUGCCGCGUGUGUGAAGAAGGCCUGCGGGUUGUAAAGCACUUUCAGUUGGGAAGAUGAUGACGUUACCAACAGAAGAAGCACCGGCUAAAUCCGUGCCAGCAGCCGCGGUAAUACGGAUGGUGCGAGCGUUAAUCGGAAUUACUGGGCGUAAAGCGCGCGUAGGCGGCUAAGUCAGUCAGAAGUGAAAGCCCCGGGCUCAACCUGGGAAUUGCUUUUGAUACUGCUUAGCUAGAGUUUGGUAGAGGAUAGUGGAAUUCCAGGUGUAGCGGUGAAAUGCGUAGAUAUCUGGAGGAACAUCAGUGGCGAAGACGACUGUCUGGACCAAAACUGACGCUGAGGUGCGAAAGCGUGGGUAGCAAACAGGAUUAGAUACCCUGGUAG